AUUGACCUGCUCAUUUCAAGCCCUUAGACCAGAAAAACCAUGCCAUACCUUAUUAUUGAGCUGUGAAGGGGCUCUGGAACUGUUUUGGAUUUUGGUAAAAUUCAAGAGUGGGGGAGUUUGCUAUAACAAUUAUAUCAAUUUGAAAGUGCUGAAAAUUGUGUAAGUGGUUUGAGAAAGAAAGAUUAGAUGAGAAAAAGAAAAAAAAAAAUGUGGCUAAGUUUCAAAAGAGAAAAGCUGAAAAAGAAUGAAAAGAAAAAAAUGAAAGAGAGUGAUGGCUGAAUCUGUGAAUCUUUUAGAGCAUGAUAUUACACUUAAUCUUUAGUGCUUUAGCUUUGAAUAAUUUUCCAUAUCUUACACUGAAUCUGUGAAGCUUGAUUAAAGUCCUAUUGAUCUUCAGUUGUGUUGAUAAUGAGUAGCAAUGUUAGAGGCUCUUCAAGCUUAUGCUGGUGCUAGAUUCAUGAUGUGAUAUGCUGAUAGAUAAACACUAACCUCAUACCCAUGAGAGGAUGAGAUAUACACUGACUUGUGAGGCUGUGAUUCUGAUCUAUGAACUGAUUUUUGAAUGAAUAUUACUUUGCUUUACUUGCUUGGCCUGUUUUCAGCCUGUUUGGAAAUCUUGAUGCUUUGUUUGGUGCUUCUUUUUGUUCAUAACAGUAGCAGUUGAGUAGUGAGAUGAGGAUUCAUCCUAGUUUAGUUUGUACAUAUAAUUCAGCCUUUGAUUUUUAGUGCAGAGAAAAAUUUAGUUUUUAUGUGCUUAAUAAUUCUUGUAUGAAUUUUCAGCUUGUUGAUUUUAGGUGCUGUGAGAAUUUAGUGCAGUGAGCAUUGGUGCAGUGAAGAAUUCAGUUAAUAAAAUGACCUGCUGUAGCCAAAGACUGACAAGUGCUGACCUGCUGCCAAAGGUCACUUAUGAAGAGUGGGAGCUGGAAAAGACAGCAGUAACCUACACCUGCCUGGAAAAGCUGAAAAUGGAACCUGGACAAGACUGUCAACGUCACUUAAGAGCUGAUUGGUUGGGAGCUGAACCUGUCAAGUGAAGAAGGGCUGUACCUGGACGUGUAACCUGUCUAACCAGUGAGGGCUACUUGCUGCAGCCAGUUGGAAGUGGAGUGGGCAGAUUAGCUUCAACUAAAGCAACUUAGGACAACCAGUCUAACAUGUAGCUGAUUCUUUGGAGCUGGAAAAGUCAGUUGACCUGAAGACUUGUAACUGGAGUAACCAGUAAAAGCAGUUAAGGAACUUAGUCUGAGCUUAGUGUAAUCAUGACCUGUGCAAUCAGUUUGUCUCUUCCCUUUUCAGUUUUGGACUUCACUUUCAGCCUAUAUAAAAAGACUUGGGUGUUCAUGUAGAAACUUGUUUACAAUAUGGCUUUCUUAGUAGGGUUUAUAAUAUUUUCAGUAGUAUAGUUUACAAUACAGUUUCUCUAAAGUAGUUCUGAGUUUGAGAGAACAUUUGCCUUGGAGCUCUUGGCUGUCUUAGACUACAAUGUGAGCAAAGGCAACCAAACUUCAUUGUACUUUGUAAUUUUGAACCAGGUUUAUUCAAUCCAAUUCUGUUUUUCAUGCAAUUUUACUUUCCUUUGCACUUUUACAGAUUUCUUUACUGUUCUUGUCUUUAAUUUCUGAGUUUAAGUCAUUCCCAUUUAUAUUUCAAUGCAUUGUGUUAGUUUCUUCCUUCUAAAUCAGAAACUCAGGUUUUAUAGAUGAAGAUUUGGGUCUCACUCUUGCAUUUUAACUAGACUCGGUUAUGGAUUCAUGCUGAUGUUCUAGUGAGCACAAUGUGACUAAUUAAACACCAAGAGGUCAGAAUUGACCCGGGCUAGCAUGAGUGAAUCUUAGUGGACAUUAAUUCAAUUUUGAAAUUCUGGUUUAGACAGUUUUUAUCUGUUUAUGCUACUGCCUUCAUGUUGUUUUCUUUGAUUUCCAGUUUUACAUAUGAUUUACUUUCUGCAAUUGUUUUCCAGUUUAAUCUCACUUUCAACAUUGCAUUUUAAUCAUUUUAAACUUGUUCUGAUAGUUAGUUCCAGUUCUGUCUCAGAUCUCUAUUUUUUCCAGUUUUGGUAGUUAUGUUUGUUACAUCCUGUGCCAAUAGUUCUAUCUUGGGUUUGAAUGAUGACUUUUAGUUUCUGUUUUACUUUCAUUUCUAAUCACUGUUUCAUGAUUGUUUGUUUCCAUAUUAUAUUCAUGUCUAUACAUCUAAUUACAGUUCUAAUCCUCAUUUUCCAGUUCUUACCCUAUAGUUGGGUUUCCUAGUUGGUUAAUUUUAGGAGUUUUGUAUAUUCAUAUCAUGUUUACAUUCAUAGCAUGACAUAGAAAUACAUUAUUCAUCACAGACCACACUAGACCCUUUUUGCUGUUAAUUUUCCUGUAAUGCUGAUACACCUUGCAUUGGCUGCCAAAUCUGGUUUAGAGGAUGAUUUUGUGGAUUUUGAGUAGUUUAACAUUUCUAAAUUCAUAUCAUACAUUAUUUUAGUGAUCUAAACUUGUUUCAAUCAUCUCCAUUGUAUAAAUCACAUUGUAGUUCUAUUAGGCAUUUUGUCGAACACAUUGUGCAUAUUAGCGUUUCUUGUAAAAUUUUCAUCAAAUAGUUUGGUAAUUCAUAUUUCUACAUUGUUUUAGAUUUUUAUAAUAUUUCAUAUCAUGAAUUCAUGCAUCAUAUAUCAUAUGGACCCAUUUUAUGCAUAUCACAUUUGCUGUAAAAGAUACUGAUGCACUAUUUUAGCCCAUUUACUGCCAAAAAUUGGUUAGAAGUGUGAAAUUAAGAUUUAUGAGUGUUUUGACAGUUUUCAAUACAUUCAUUGCAUGUUAAUAAUCAUUGAAAUAUGUUCCAUGCAUUAGUUUUGCGUCAAACACAAAUUUGGUUCUCACAUGCAUUUCAUCAAACACCUAGUGAAAGUUAGGUUUUCAUUCAGUACUUUUCACCAACAGUUUUGGGUUUCAUGUUGCUGCAUUGUUUUAGGUAUAUUUAGGAGCCAAAUUAUUUUCUAUUCAUAUUUUCUAGGUGUUUUUCAUAUUCAUUCAUCAUAUUACAUCAUUCAAGUAUUGAUUUGAGCAUUUUCAUGCAUCGUUUUUAGUUUUUUUUUUCUUGAGUUUAUUGCACUGUGCUAGAGUAGAUAGCAUCUUCUGUAUUUUCCUCCAACAUUUGCUUUAGUUUUCAUGGAUAACAUAACACAAUUUAUCUACUAAAAUUGGAGAUUUAUUGGAUUGAUACCCGUUGCGACUCUAUCACAUUAGAGAGAAUUUAAGUUGUGAUUGGAUUAAGUAAUUUAGAAGGAUAAUUUAUUUAUUGAAAGAAUUUAAAACUUAUUACACUAAAAUAUUUGUUUGGAUAAAAUAAUUAGAAAGAAAUUCAAAUUUAAUUUUUUAUGGAAAAUAUUUCAAAUAAAUAAAAUAGAAUAAUUUCAACUCUAAAAAAUAUAAGAAAUUUGAAAUUUCAUUCAUGUUAACUCCACUAACAAAGGUUGAAUUGAGUUGGUCCAAAAUAAAAGUUGACUCGAGUUGAUCUGAGUCGGUGGUCAAUCCGAGUCGCUCCAGGUCGAUAGUCGAGACUUAACUCAAGCUUAAAUAUGAAGUUGAGUUUGCCUUAAAAGAGUAAUGGAACUGCUUGAUCCAAAAGUGAAAACUAAAAUAAAAGAUAUUUCAAUUACUCUAUAUAAACAACUAUGUGAGAAAUUAAGAGAAUUCAGUUGUAAAUAAUUAAAAUACUAUGGAUUUCAAUUUCUUGGAAUUGUUGAAGUGUCUCAUCUAAGCACAAUAUUCGGAUUUUGUUUAUGUUGUGUUUAGACAAGGUAACUUAGAAGGAAAUUUAUUUAUUUGAAGAUUUUUAAGUUUUUUAUACUAAAAUGACUUGUUUGGAUAAAAAAAUUUAGAAAGAAAUUCAAAUUUAAGAAAUUUUAGAAGCUAUUUCAAAUUAAUAAAAUAUAAUAAUUUCAAAGACCUUCAAAAAUAUAAGAAAUUUGAUAUUUUGCUCUUUUUUACUCCAUUCAUAAAGGUCAAUCCGAGUCGACUUAGGAUGAAGGCUCAGUCAAGUCAACUAAGGUCGAAACUUGAGUUGAGUCAACCCAGGAUUAAGACUUAAUCGAGUCAAUCUAGGAUGAAAUCUCAGUCGAGUCAACCCAGGCUAAAGGCUUAGUCAAGUCACCUUGGGCUAAAGGUUCAAUCAAGUUUGUUAGGAUCGAAGGUCGAGUUGGGUCAUCCUAGGUCAAAGGUUGAGUUGGGUCGUCCUAGGCCAAAGGUUGACUCAGGUCGAGGUUGAGCUAGGUCGGCCUAGGUCGCAGGUCGAGUUGAGUCGAUUCGAACUAAAGAUAGAGCUGAGUCGGUUAGGAUCAGAGACCCAACUAGGUUUGCUUGGACCGAAUGUUGAAUCAAUUCGGGUCAGACCAAAGAUGGAGCUAGGUUGAAUCUAUUAGAGUCAAAUUAAAUCUAUUAGAGUUACUUUGAACUAAAAAUCAAGACGAGUUGUCCUGAAUUGAAAAUCAAAUUAAUUCAACUAUGACUAAAAAAUAAAAUUAAAUUUGCGUAAACAUAAAAAUUAAAUUGUUUUAUUCAAAAAAAAAUUGAAAUCUAAGAUAUUUUAAUUAAUUUAUCCAAACAAAUUAUUUAAAUAAAUAAAAGAAAAUUUAACUGUAAGUAAUUCAAAUCUAUUUAUUUUAAUUUCUUGAAAUUAUUAAUAUCUAUGGAAUCAUGUGGUUAAUAAUAUCUAUGCGACUAGGAGGGCUAACAAUUAACAUGUCAGUUCCAUCAUGAGUGCUGCUCCAUCCAUCAAGGACUGUUCAUUCAGCACCUACUUGGUAAGACGUGGACAAAGCUUUCAAAAGAAGCACAUGGAUAAAGCUUGGUUUAUUUGCCAUGCCCUACUUGGCAAAGAUUGGCACAUGCUAUGCAGGAAUCAUUCUUCUAACCAACAAAAAUACACUGGUUUGAUUUCUGUCCAGGCUUUUGAAUUCAAAGCCGUUACUGCACUUGCAUGCUUGUUUUCAAUUUUGUACAUUGAAUUAGAGUACAAAGCAAAGUUUACUUGGAAGAAGAAAAAUUAGGAUGUUCUACGGAAGCAGGGAGGGGAGGAUGUAUGGAACCAGAGCUGACUGACUUGGCUCGACGGGUCAACGACGCUUCUGGGAGAGGCAGCGGCUGCGGCAGACUAGAGAGGGAGCGGUGUUCGGAAGCGGAGUGGUAGCGGGGCUCCGGCAAGGCAGAAAAAGAGUCGGUGGAGUGGAAGAAGGAGAAGCCAAUAUCAUGGUCGCUGAGGUGGCGGAGCUUCCUCUGCCUGGUCAACCGCCACGAUGGAGUGCAGUCAUCGGGUCCGACAUCGUUGGGGUGGGCUCUGGUGGAAAGAGAUUUUCUGGAAAGAGGCAUCGGAGAGAGUGGUGAUUGUUGGUGAAAAAGGGUUGUGUAUUUAACAUUUGUGGUUGCAACGGAACUAUAACAUUGCGAAGCAAAACUAUGGAAACAACCUACGCUUUGUGUGGACUUUGGUUGCUAAUAAUUUCCAUGUUCCAACGAGGAUUGUCUUGUGUCUGGAAUUAUACAUAUUGCAUUGUCCUCACCUUGACUUUCUGUUGAGGUCGUUUUUCUCUUCUUGGACAAAGAUACAAACUCUAACAGUAACUAUCUUCUACACUGUCUAAUUACCA